CCUACGUGGAGCAGCAGUAGGGAAUCUUCCACAAUGGGCGCAAGCCUGAUGGAGCAACACCGCGUGAGUGAAGAAGGGUUUCGGCUCGUAAAGCUCUGUUGUUGGGGGAGAACGUGCGUGAGAGUAACUGUUCACGCAGUGACGGUAUCCUACCCGACACUCACGUCUAACUACGUACCAGCAGCCGCGCUAAUACGUAGGUGGCAAGCGUUAUCCGGAUUUAUUGGGCGUAAAGGGAGCGCAGGCGGUUGCUUAGGUCUGAUGUGAAAGGCUUCGGCUUAACCGAAGAAGUGCCUCGGAAACCGGGCGACUAGAGGGCAGAAGAGGACAGUGGAACGCCAUGUGUAGCGGUGGAAUGCGUAGAGAUAAGGAAGAACACCAGUGGCGAAGGCGGCUGUCUGGUCUGCAACUGACGCUGAGGCUCGAAAGCAUGGGUAGCGAACAGGAUUAGAGACCCUAGUAGUC
rnacentral:rRNA from 1 species